AAGAAAAAAAGAUAGUAUCUGAUUUUAAAAACUAUUUUAAAUAGAGAGUUAAUUUACAUACAGUGAAGUGCACACAUGUAGUUGUACAACUCAGUGGGUUUUGAAAAAUGGUUCUCACCUGUGUAAUUUACCCCAAUUAAGGCAUGGGGAACUCUAGAAAGUUCCCCCAUGUUCCUUUCUGGUCACGCUCACCCCACCCCUCCACCAGAGGCACCCUCUGUUUUGAUUUCUCUCAUCAAAAACUAGUUUUGCUUAUUUCUGAACUUUGCAUGAAUGGAAUGAUACAGUACGUACUCUUAUAUCUGGCUUCCAUUAAUCCAUAUAUAAUCUCAUGGGGAGACUGGCCCAUGCUGUUGCAUAGGUCAGUAGUUUGUUUUUAUUGGCCAGUAGUAUUUAUUAUAUGGAUAUUCCACCAUCUGUUUAUCCAUCCUCCUUUUGGAAAGCAUUUGGGUUGCUUUGCUUCUGACCAUUGUGUAAAUAGAUGAACAAUGAACACUUGUGUGCAAGUCUUUGUAGACACUUAUUUUCAUCUGUCUUGGGUAAAUGCCAAGGAGUGGACUUACUGCAUCAAAGGCUAGGUAUAUGUUUAAAUCUGUAAGAAACUCCCCAACUCUUUCCUAAGCUGGCUGCACCAUUUUACGUUCCCACCUGUAAAACUUAGAAAAUGAGGAAAAGAACCACCAGUGGACCUGGAAUUGGGAGAAAUCCCUGAAAGACAACGGUAGAUAGAAGCAGAUGGGCAGACAGGGUAGCCCGGAAUAUCCACAGCAGGUGUGUCCUGCCACAGAACUUGGAGCUAUUCCAGAGGAAGCAGGAAUGAAGAGCAGGGCACGGAACACAGAUCCUCAUCAUAGUUAACCUGGCUGUGCCAGCAGGAGGCGGCACUGGGAGUAGCAUCCAGGCUCAGAGCAAAAGCUGCAUGCAUCCAAGGGACCCCACAGGAUGAGCUGGGAGCUGGUCUCCUUGAUGACAAAUACCAGUUCCUUCCUUCUGGAAGUGUGCACCUCAUUCUCAAUCAAACAUCUGAUGAAAAGCAACCUUAAGCAAAGAAUUAACACCCGAGGAAACAAAGUUAAAAGAAUGAGAGAGAGAGAGAGAAAUAUAUACAAUGACUAUCUUCAAGAGAGAUAUGAGAUAAAUGUAGUCUCUCGCAGUGCAUAGAUUUCUGAAUUCAUUCUUACUGAAUGAUAGAAUAUGUGCAUAAAUAAAUUAGUCCAGGAAUGGAUAUUUAGAUGGAAAAGCUUGUGCCCUAAUCAAAGCAAUCCCCACUGGUGAUACCGCCUUUCCAGAAACAUAUUUGUGCAGCUUUUCUCCUGCGGAUCCAGGUGCUACAGAUAGGGAGGAAGAACAUUUCAGGCAGCUGGCUCUGGCAAAGUCCCACAUUGCUUUGAGAGAUAUGACUGCACAGACAGUCAGGCAAUACGUGGAAGAGAAACCACCACUGAUUGGUCCCCACGGUGGAAUGAGUCGUGACUGCAGCAAAGACCAUGACGACGACGCAUCUGCCCUGAGCUCAGAAUCCCUGACAUGGGGCUCAGGGAAGGGUUUUAUCAUUAGCGUGUGAGAUACAUUCAUCCACAGGAGCGCCCCGGCACAGACUUCUUUCAAAUGCAAGGAACAGGCUGAGGUUAGAAAAGAAUAAAUGAUAUUUUAGCUUAAUUUAUGUUGUUUACUGGGGGAAAAAAAAAAGAUAGGAAAAACUUAAUGUGUCAGACAUGAUGGUGAUUUCAAUGGAAUGCAGAGUAAUAACUAAGGUGUGUGCUCUCCCCACACCAUCAUGGCUUUAGGAUCUGAUACCAUUCUGAAGUGCAAGAGUAUUAAUUUAGCUGAAAGAAAGCUAGGUAUAGGGGAUGGGAGACACCGCUGAUUAGGGACUCCAGAUAUUUAUUUUAGGGUCGGUGAUACUUUGGUCUGUGUUAUUUCUAUACCUCUAUACCCAUAUUUGUGUUUCACUUUGUCUUUUGUUUAAAACGUACAUUUUGAUUAUAACUAUUUCUGCAAAAAGUGAUGUGUUUUGGAGGCAUGAGAUAUGUGGGUGGGCUUUCACACACAGAGACACGAUCACAACAAAAAUCUAUAGUACUUUACUAGAAGUAAAUCAACUGUAUUUGAAAAUGUCUAAAACGUCCGAUUUUCACAUUGGAAAAGGUGGUGCUUCAGUGCACAUCGAUACUGUCACGUUCCUUUCCUCUUUGUCUCCAGUUGCAUCUUUAUUGAGAUCAGCUCAUGAUACAACAAGCAACUAGAUUGGUCUGCUUAUUGCUGUCUGGGCACCCAAGCAGAGAUACUGCGGUUUUACCAUCUGAUCAUGGUCCUGCCAUCCCAUAGAGCUUCCCAGUCCUCCCUGGGAUGUCAUACUUGCUCACACAAGAACAUCUGAAUGCGGAAAUGGUCAAGCCUGGGAAAAUCCAUGACCCGCUCAACCAACUUUUGUCUUUGACCACUGCACCAAGAUCUUUCAGACUACAUGGACAAGCAAUUGUCGAUUGAUGAUUGAAGAUGAGCCACAAUAUUAGGCCUAGUCUCAAGAGGGUUUCCAGAAAGAUGUGAUUGUCCUUUCAGGUGGCAGUUGCAUAAAUGUGCUCCAGACAGCCUACUUUCCCAUGAGAAUGGCAUGGAAGCAUUGUUCAUGAACUCGCGCAGCAUCUUGUGGCUGAAAUGUAUUCUUAGCUUGCAUUGACUUUUGUUGAGUAUGGAGUUCCGCAGGUUUGCUCACAGUGGCGGGGCUGCUCUUCCUUUUGCCUUAGGCUUGCAUCUCUCAUGCUCUGGCGAAGCUGUUUUGUUGCAGUAGAGAUUUUGUUGAGUGGUCUCUGUUGGGUUGAUUUUCUGGGCACCACCAACAGAAUUACUUAAUUGGGAGUAAGUUAUUUAACUUCUGUGAAAUUUGUGUUCUCAUCAAUAAAAUGAGGAUAGUCCUUUCUCAUACUGA